CAUCUUUUUGAGUUACUCAACAUAUUUCAGCACUUUCUCUCUAUGGGCCAACACUUGAUGUUCCUUCAGGAGGCAUAUCUUCAAGGACCAGUAGUGCUUCAGGUCUGUGCUCACCUGUUCCUGAAAGGUCAACAGGCCACCACUGGGUGUCGUGAUGUUUCCUCAUGGACACUGAGGCAUGCUGGAGUGCUGUUGCUCCCACCAGUGGUCCUGUGAACUUAACAAACUCAAGGGGAUUAGUACAGAUGUUUAACAGGUAUGAAGAGGGGUAGGUCUGCCCUCUGUGGUAGGAUACAAGCUGUGUUUUUGUCUUGAGUCAACACCUCCACUUGCACUGGGGCGUAUCCUGGCCUUUGGUACCGUACCCUUUGGCCUGAUAUCUGUCACUGGAUAACUAUACCAGGUACUAAUGGGGGAGUGGGUUCUAAUUUGCCACAUGGAUCUAAUCUGGCCACACACUCCCUCACAAAUACGUGAACUUUAUUUGCUCCUUUUGCCUCUGUGACACCACAUGUAGACCAAGCAGGUGCAUGAGUUGGUUCCCUGUGGAAGGUGUGUCGCUCAUGUCUACUUGUUGCAUGAAAUACCAACAGAAGCAGAAAAUAAGUGUAAAUGACAAUUGGCUAUCAUCAAGUAAAAGCAUUCACCUUCCUUUUGGCCUUGU